rnacentral:rRNA from 1 species
CCUACGUGAGGCAGCAGUGGGGGAUAUUGCACAAUGGGGGGAACCCUGAUGCAGCGACGCCGCGUGGGUGAAGGAGCGUUUCGGCGCGUAAAGCCCUAUCGGCAGGGAAAAGGGAGGACGUUACCUGCCUAAGAAGCCCCGGCUACCUCCGUCCCAGCAGCCGCGGUACUACGUAGGGGGCAAGCGUUAUCCGGAUUUACUGGGCGUACAGGGCUCGUAGGCGGUAUGUCAAGUCAAGGGUGAAUUCCCCGCGCUCAACGUGGGAACUGCCUUUGAAACUGGCAAACUGGAGUGUGUGAGAGGAUAGUGGAAGUCCAGGUGUAGGAGUGAAAUCCGUAGAUAGCUGGAGGAACAUCAGUGGCGAAGGCGACUAUCUGGCACAUAACUGACGCUGAGGAGCGAAAGCGUGGGUAGCAAACAGGAUUAGAUACCCGUGUAGUC